GUGUGCAUGGGGGGGUGUGUGGAAGUCAGACAGAUCCCUGCGGCCUGCGAGCCUAUCGAGCUGCAUUUGUCGUUUCUGCCCGGGCGACAUUUUUUCUCCCUAAGCUACUGCACACUAAACAGAGUGAGAGAGCUUUUCCCUGCAGCCUUCUUGAAGCCCCCCUGGUUUUUUACUCAUUGUUGGUGGGUGUAUUUUAUUUUUUUCAUCCCUGGACUGUGGGUUAUGAUAUCAAUAUUCACGGAAGACAGAAAGCCACCUUUCCUGCAUCUCGGGGGCAUGCAUGCUCUUCAUCACCCUCUCAAACUCGUGGUGGAACAGGGUUUUCUUCUCUGUCUGUGUAUUCUGAGCCAGCACAGUUACCAAAAUUGAACUUGUCUUUCGUUUGUGAGCGGUUGUGGUCACUGUGAGGGCAGGGUGUGUGGAGGCUGUAGCUGAGGACAAGGUGUGUGCGGCUGUCACCUGGACGUCUGUCCGAUCCACGUUGACAUUUGAGGAAUCGCAGUGUGUGAAAAUGAACUCAGAGGAGAAUUGGUGAAUUCCUGUCCAGUGGGCAUCUUGAAACCCCGGUCGACGGCAGAAGAGUAUCAGGCCCCGAGAUCACCCGCCCAGCGCGGAAGGAGUGCAG